rnacentral:rRNA from 1 species
AACGAACGCUGGCGGCAUGCCUAACACAUGCAAGUCGAACGAUUGCCUUCGGGUGAUAGUGGCGCACGGGUGCGUAACGCGUGGGAAUCUGCCCUUAGGUUCGGAAUAACAGCUGGAAAAGGCUGCUAAUACCGGAUGAUAUCGCGAGAUCAAAGAUUUAUCGCCUGAGGAUGAGCCCGCGUUGGAUUAGGUAGUUGGUGGGGUAAAGGCCUACCAAGCCGACGAUCCAUAGCUGGUCUGAGAGGAUGAUCAGCCACACUGGGACUGAGACACGGCCCAGACUCCUACGGGAAGCAGCAGUGGGGAAUAUUGGACAAUGGGCGCAAGCCUGAUCCAGCAAUGCCGCGUGAGUGAUGAAGGCCCUAGGGUUGUAAAGCUCUUUUACCCGGGAAGAUAAUGACUGUACCGGGAGAAUAAGCCCCGGCUAACUCCGUG